rnacentral:rRNA from 1 species
AGAGUUUGAUCCUGGCUCAGAACGAACGCUGGCGGCAGGCCUAACACAUGCAAGUCGAGCGCGCCUUCGGGUGAGCGGCGGACGGGUUAGUAACGCGUGGGAACGUGCCCUUCUCUACGGAAUAGCCUCUGGAAACGGAGAGUAAUACCGUAUACGCCCUUUGGGGGAAAGAUUUAUCGGAGAAGGAUCGGCCCGCGUUAGAUUAGGUAGUUGGUGGGGUAACAGCCUACCAAGCCUACGAUCUAUAGCUGGUUUUAGAGGAUGAUCAGCAACACUGGGACUGAGACACGGCCCAGACUCCUACGGGAGGCAGCAGUGGGGAAUCUUAGACAAUGGGGGCAACCCUGAUCUAGCCAUGCCACGUGAGUGAUGAAGGCCUUAGGGUCGUAAAGCUCUUUCGCCUGUGAUGAUAAUGACAGUAGCAGGUAAAGAAACCCCGGCUAACUCCGUGCCAGCAGCCGCGGUAAUACGGAGGGGGUUAGCGUUGUUCGGAAUUACUGGGCGUAAAGCGCGCGUAGGCGGAUUAGAAAGUUGGGGGUGAAAUCCCGGGGCUCAACCUCGGAACUGCCUCCAAAACUGCUAGUCUAGAGUUCGAGAGAGGUGAGUGGAAUUCCGAGUGUAGAGGUGAAAUUCGUAGAUAUUCGGAGGAACACCAGUGGCGAAGGCGGCUCACUGGCUCGAUACUGACGCUGAGGUGCGAAAGUGUGGGGAGCAAACAGGAUUAGAUACCCUGGUAGUCCACACCGUAAACGAUGAAUGCCAGUCGUCGGGUAGUAUACUAUUCGGUGACACACCUAACGGAUUAAGCAUUCCGCCUGGGGAGUACGGUCGCAAGAUUAAAACUUAAAGGAAUUGACGG